UUAACUCAAAUUUGUAUGGAGUUGGAACGUUUGCCGCUAGAGGCGCUGUACCAACUCCAUACACAUUUGAAUUA
rnacentral:pre_miRNA from 1 species